CACGUAGGGCGCAAGCGUUUGUCCGGAAUUAUUGGGCGUAAAGAGCUCGUAGGCGGUCUGUUGCGUCCGCUGUGAAAACUCGGGGCUUAACCCCGAGCCUGCAGUGGAUACGGGCAGACUAGAGGUAGGUAGGGGAGAAUGGAAUUCCCGGUGUAGCGGUGAAAUGCGCAGAUAUCGGGAGGAACACCGGUGGCGAAGGCGGUUCUCUGGACCGUAACUGACGCUGAGACACGAAAGCGUGGGUAGCAAACAGG
rnacentral:rRNA from 1 species